rnacentral:rRNA from 1 species
UACAGAGGUCCCAAGCGUUGUUCGGAUUCAUUGGGCGUAAAGGGUGCGUAGGCGGCGCGGUAAGUCGGGUGUGAAAUCUCGGGGCUUAACUCCGAAACUGCAUUCGAUACUGCCGUGCUUGAGGACUGGAGAGGAGACUGGAAUUUACGGUGUAGCGGUGAAAUGCGUAGAUAUCGUAAGGAAGACCAGUGGCGAAGGCGGGUCUCUGGACAGUUCCUGACGCUGAGGCACGAAGGCUAGGGGGAGCAAACGGG